GACGAACGCUGGCGGCGUGCCUAACACAUGCAAGUCGAACGGAACUUCUUUAAAGGACUUCUUCGGAAUGAAUUUGAUUAAGUUUAGUGGCGGACGGGUGAGUAACGCGUGAGUAACCUGCCUCUAAGAGGGGAAUAACAUUCUGAAAAGAAUGCUAAUACCGCAUAAUAUAUAUUUAUCGCAUGGUAGAUAUAUCAAAGAUUUAUCGCUUAGAGAUGGACUCGCGUCCGAUUAGUUAGUUGGUGAGGUAACGGCUCACCAAGACCGCGAUCGGUAGCCGGACUGAGAGGUUGAACGGCCACAUUGGGACUGAGACACGGCCCAGACUCCUACGGGAGGCAGCAGUGGGGGAUAUUGCGCAAUGGGGGAAACCCUGACGCAGCAACGCCGCGUGAAGGAUGAAGGUCUUCGGAUUGUAAACUUCUUUUAUUAAGGACGAAGAAAGUGACGGUACUUAAUGAAUAAGCUCCGGC
rnacentral:rRNA from 1 species